UACGGAGGGGACUAGCGUUGUUCGGAAUUACUGGGCGUAAAGCGCACGUAGGCGGAUUUGUUAGUCAGGGGUGAAAUCCCGAGGCUCAACCUCGGAACUGCCUUUGAUACUGCAAAUCUCGAGUCCGGAAGAGGUGAGUGGAAUUCCUAGUGUAGAGGUGAAAUUCGUAGAUAUUAGGAAGAACACCAGUGGCGAAGGCGGCUCACUGGUCCGGUACUGACGCUGAGGUGCGAAAGCGUGGGGAGCGAACCGG
rnacentral:rRNA from 1 species